rnacentral:lncRNA from 1 species
AAUCUGAAUUUGUCGACUAUAUAUCGACAAUUGUGGAAGUCCGAAUGACCAUCAGUCAGCAACUCUGAUAUGUCGAUGCCAUCGGUUUGAAGUCAAUUGAGUCAUCAUAGUCGGAGUUUAUCAGAAAGAUUGAGAAUAGCCGAUUGUUGGUCGGCAAUCGAUUGAUACUCGACGAUUCAUGCUUAUCAGGCCGAUUGAAAGUGAGAAUUGGGGGAGUCAGCUGAAUUGCUCCAACAAUAGCUAUUGCUCAUAUUUGGAAUCUGAAUAGCUCACUUAUAUUUGGUGCUAAACAUGACAUGCUGUGAGAUGAAGGGUACUUUUAUGUCCCUAAGAUAUACGAUGUGGUGGUUAUCCAAAGCUAUACAACCCAU